CGAGGCGGACGGGUGACCGCCGGCGAAGUAAAUAGCGUUGGAGGAAAGUCCGGGCUCCACAGAGCAGGGCGCUGGGUAACACCCAGUCGGGGCGACCCGAAGGAAAGUGCCACAGAAAAGAACCGCCAGACAGCGUUGAUCUCCGGAGAGGCGCCGUCAGGUAAGGGUGAAAAGGUGGGGUAAGAGCCCACCGGCGGCCGGGUGACCGGCCGGCCAGGUAAACCCCGCCCGGAGCAAGACCAAAUAGGAGGACGUUUUAACGGCGGCUCGCCCAGUCCUCGGGUAUCGGUCGCUAGAGACGCCGGGCAACCGGCGCCCCAGACAGAUGGUCACCGUCCCGCAAGGGACACAGAACCCGGCUUACAGUCCGCCCUCGACCC
rnacentral:RNase_P_RNA from 1 species